rnacentral:rRNA from 1 species
GCAGUCGAGCGGANCGAGUUAUCUGACCUUCGGGGAANGAUAACGGCGUCGAGCGGCGGACGGGUGAGUAAUGCCUAGGAAAUUGCCCUGAUGUGGGGGAUAACCAUUGGAAACGAUGGCUAAUACCGCAUAAUGCCUACGGGCCAAAGAGGGGGACCUUCGGGCCUCUCGCGUCAGGAUAUGCCUAGGUGGGAUUAGCUAGUUGGUGAGGUAAUGGCUCACCAAGGCGACGAUCCCUAGCUGGUCUGAGAGGAUGAUCAGCCACACUGGAACUGAGACACGGUCCAGACUCCUACGGGAGGCAGCAGUGGGGAAUAUUGCACAAUGGGCGCAAGCCUGAUGCAGCCAUGCCGCGUGUGUGAAGAAGGCCUUCGGGUUGUAAAGCACUUUCAGUCGUGAGGAAGGUGGUGUAGUUAAUAGCUGCAUUACUUGACGUUAGCGACAGAAGAAGCACCGGCUAACUCCGUGCCAGCAGCCGCGGUAAUACGGAGGGUGCGAGCGUUAAUCGGAAUUACUGGGCGUAAAGCGCAUGCAGGUGGUUUGUUAAGUCAGAUGUGAAAGCCCGGGGCUCAACCUCGGAAUAGCAUUUGAAACUGGCAGACUAGAGUACUGUANAGGGGGGUANAANUUCAGGUGUAGCGGNGAAANUGCGUAGAGAUCUGAAGGAAUANCGGUGGCGAAGGCGGCCCCCUGGNNAGAUACUGACACUCANAUGCGAAAGCGUGGGGGAGNAAACAGGAUUANAUACCC